UGGUGACUCAAAUGGAUGUGCAGAAAUUAACUUAACAAUGCAGGUGCUGCUAUGAGUUUCUCUCAAGUAUUCAGGGAACCUAAAAUAUUCACUUCAGUUAUGCAAUUCUUUACUCACCUUGUGCAAAAAUACAGUUGGUCAAGAGGAUGGCAAAAAUCUGAAUUCAAAAACUUAAGGUUGAGCAUAAUGCACUUAAAAUCACACAAUUUCAAGCCACUAUUUCUAUUUUUCAUUAGUCCACUUACCAAAAAAGGAUUUAAAUGGGUCCAUUAAAAAUUGUAGACUACACAAGAUUUACUCUGCACUUUAGAAAUAAAACAGAAGGCAAUAUAUACAUUCGUAACUGUAACACAAUGUGGAAAGAAAGAGAAUCUCAAAGGCUAAUCAUGUGGCACUAAAAAGAUAUAAAAAAAAGCAAUUUUUCUCAUCUACUCAAGAUCAGAAAUGCUUCUUGCAGAAAAUGGUAUCAGUUCUUUUUACUUGAUCAGAUAUUAAAUUACCACUUUGUAAGUGAUGUUUAUAUAAAAUACACCACUGUUAGGAGAGGCUGUAGGUUGUCAUAAAGAAAUUUAAAACCUUCACGCAACCUUCAACUGAGGGUGGCUUCCUUCCCAUUCUAUUUGUAGGGGAGGAAACAGAAAAAAUGUCACAGUGCAGCCACAGAGAUGGUUCUAGAACCCAGGCAACUAAUGCCCAGGACACAUUCUUUUCACACCACAAGGAAACUACAAACCUUCAGAAGUCAUCAAAUCAUCAGAGAAAGAAACAUAGUCAAAGGCAAGAAGAGAGUGGACCAAAGACAGAUCCCUGGCUCUACUCACUCACAGUGUGGACAUCACAAAGCAGUUUCAGAAGAGGUCACUAGAAUGGUGUCUUUUCCUCCUAAUCCUGUGAAAGGUGGAAUACUAAAUGAAGUAUUCAUCACACAUAAACCUUCACACCGACCUUUUCUUUUUUCUGAGCUAGUCCUCUUAACACAGCUAUGUGCUAUAUUAGCACACCAAGACAAAACUGUUUCAAAGGUGACUUUCUCCCUCCACUAA
ensembl:lincRNA